AUGGAUGUGGCUUCUCCUAGCUCCGAUGGAGAUCUGCAGGCAGGGCUCCUGCACCCCACCGCUAGCAGCUCCAACUCCAUCUCCAGAGACAUUAACAUGGCUAGCAAGUUGCAAAAUGCAGCAAGUCUAACUAUCCGACUACUACAACAAAUCACGGAUAAUUUCUCAGAGGAGCGAAAAAUUGGUCAAGGCGCAUAUGGAACGGUUUACAAGGGGGUGCAUGCCAAUGGAGAGGAGAUUGCUGUAAAGCUGCUCCGUAAUAACCUGCAAGGAACUGACGAUGAGCAAUUCAAACGUGAGUUUGAAAACCUCAUGAGGCUCGAUCAUCACAACAUUGUACAGUUAGUUGGCUAUUGCUACGAAACACAUCAUAAACCUAUGCUGCACAAUGGAGAAACCAUUUACGCUGAAGAAACAAACAGAGUGCUCUGCUUUGAGUAUAUGCGAAAUGGAAGCCUUCAAAAGCAUAUUUCUGAGGAAUGUGAUGGACUUGACUGGCACACACGUUACGGAAUUAUCAAAGGGACAUGUGAGGGAUUAAAAUACCUUCAUGAAGGAUUCAAAGAACCAAUUUACCAUAUGGACUUGAAACCUGACAAUAUACUGCUAGAUGAGAAUAUGAUGCCAAAACUAGCAGAUUUUGGCUUGUCUAAGCUCUACGAUGGAGAACAAUCAGUGAUCACUCAAAUUCUUACGGGAACAAUUGGAUACUUGCCGCCGGAAUAUUUAUUUGAACACAUAGUCUCGAAGAAGUUGGACAUAUUCAGUCUGGGUGUUGUGGUGACAAAGAUAAUUACGGGGCCUAGAGGCCCCACCAGGAGGGCUGAAAUGACUUACCAAGACUUUAUUAAUCAAGUACAUGUAAACUGGAGGAAAAGAUUGCAGGAAACAUGGCAUGCUUCCCAACCUUUAGAAGCGUAUUGCAAGCAAGUGAACAUAUGCAUUGAAAUAGCAUUGACCUGCAUGGAGAGCGAUAGGCACAAAAGGCCUACUAUAGUAGAUAUCAUACAUAAACUGAACGAGACUGAAACUGUGAUCAAAGAGCUGAAAAAUGAUGAGGGUCACCGAUGGACAAGCAACCAUAUUACCGAGGAUAUUGUAGCGCAAGAAACUGAGCGUGAUUAUCGUGCUAUACCUGAUCAAGACCCAACACUCAUGGAACCUGUUAGGAGUGAUGUAUUAGAAAAUACAGAGGGAGUUGAGAAUGAAUAUGCAGCUGCAGAGGAUGAUCCCCUGCCAGGCAUAAAAGGACUAAGAAUCACAGGUGAAGCUUUCCCUGGAAGAGAACUUCAAGCGAGUGGGUUUUCCAUCAACGGAACCAGAGGUUGUAAUUUCGAGUGGGUACGCCAUUUCGAAGAUGGAUCCGUGAAGUUCAUAGAAGGUGCACGGCAGCCCACAUAUGUAGUUACCGCUGACGACGUGGACACUCUACUAGCCAUUGAGGUCCAGCCACUAGAUGACCGAAAAAGAAAGGGAGAUGUCCUGAAGAUUUAUGCCAAUGAACAAAUGAGAAUUACUUGCGAUCCUGAAAUGAAGGAGCUUAUCAAAAGAAUCCUUUCCAUUGGGCAUGUGUCUUAUGAAGUCCUGCUACCUUUUCAGGUUAGAUUUCUAGAUAUGUGGGAACCUGCUGUAUUGUCAAUAAAGAGGGAAGGUUACAGCAUUAAGUGUAACGGACAACGCGGUGUUGUCAUUACAGAGAGAUUCCAGCAAUCCACGGAUAUCAGUAUCCCAUGGGCGCAUCCUACUGAGUUUUCAAUUCAGUCAGCUAAGGGCACGCAGUAUAAUGUCAAGCCUGCUGAAAAUUCCCCAUCACGGGAUACUAUUGUUCUAAUACUGAGGGUGUUCAGGAUGCAGGCUAUUGAGAAGAGCAAAGCAAGAAGAUGGGGCAUCUUCUCCAAGUAG
rnacentral:rRNA from 1 species